GUCUACAGCCAUACCACCCUGAACACGCCCGAUUUCGUCUGAUCUCGGAAGCUAAGCAGGGUCGGGCUUGGUUAGUACUUGGACGGUAGAACUGGCAGAAUUUGAUA
rnacentral:rRNA from 1 species